rnacentral:lncRNA from 1 species
UUCUCUCUUUUCUGAUUAAUAAUAUUCUCUGUCUUCCAGAGACUUCUCUCAUACGCUCCUCCUUCUCUCUAGAUUCUCUCACUAGAUUUUCCAUGACUCUUCGGUUUAAUCUCAAAGUUUACAUGGUAUCAGAGCCUAGACGACGAUCCGACUAUGUUUUUCUGCAUCUCGUUGUUCAUGGCUCUUCGGUUUAAUCACAAAGUUUACAUGGUAUCAGAGCCUAGACGACGAUCCGACUAUGUGUUUCUGCAUCUCGUUGUCUUGGUUGAAGUCUCCUUUGAGAUUUUUGGGGGUGUUUCUGAGACUUUGUGGUCGAUGAGGAUUCCGAUCUAAAUCGGAUGUCUUUCUGAGUAUUUCAUCGUGAUAUCCGAGUGUAUUUUCUUCGCUCGAACGUUCUGGGAGAUUUUCCGCUGAUUUUUGAGUAAUUUUCGGUGACCUAUCAGCUUCUAGGGUUUCUGAUGGUUAAACCUAGAGUUUUACUGCUAUCCGGUGGCUCGAUCUUCACUCGCGGAUGUUUUGGGUGCCUUUCCAACAUCCCUAACCACACUUCCAGUAAGGAUUUAGACGGUUACUCCUACGGUUUUGUACCCAGGGUUUUCUGUGUUGUUUGAAGGCCGAUCUUCUCCGGUCGCGAAGAAGGAGGGUAACUCUGUCCUUAUCUUGAGUGUUGUAUGCUUUGUGUGUGAUUAUCUGACUCCAUAUGUGAGUAUCUGGUUUUAUGUGUGAAUAUCUGGUUUGGUUAUACUCUGUUUGUUGAAACUGUUUUUUUAAGACGGUUCAUUGAUUAUGGCUUCUAAUACAAAUGUUGGUACCUCCUCCUCAGUAGACUCUUCUAGCCCCCUUUUUGUAUAUUCCUCUGAUGUCCCUGGGGUCUCUCUUGUUCCCACUCCCUUCUUGUGUAGUGGCUAUGGGGGCUGGAGGCGUAAGAUGAUUGUUGCUUUAUCUGCUAAAAAUAAAAUCGGAUUUGUUGACGGUUCAUGUCCUCGUCCUACCGGCCUCAUAUUUUAACAAGCUCAAAGGCUUGUGGCCUCAAUCCGAUUAAUUCUUAACAAAUUAGUAUUCGCUUUGAAUUGGGCACAAUGUGCACAAAUCAUGGGCAGAGAUGUGUGUGUGCUGCUAAAAAUGGAAUAAUUGAGGAAGAUGAUGAAAACAAGGUAUUCCAGUUUCUUAUGGGUUAAAUGAAGCAUACAUGGGGGUUAGGAGUAAUUUGUUGAUGAUGCAGCUGUUAGAUAAUACGCUUAACGCUAGAGGGAGGUGAAUAGCGUUAUAAUAAAAAACAGCGUAAACUUGCGGAAUUUAAAAAUUGCAGGAA